UACGUAGGGCGCAAGCGUUAUCCGGAAUUAUUGGGCGUAAAGAGCUCGUAGGCGGUUUGUCGCGUCUGCUGUGAAAGACCGGGGCUCAACUCCGGUUCUGCAGUGGGUACGGGCAGACUAGAGUGCAGUAGGGGAGACUGGAAUUCCUGGUGUAGCGGUGAAAUGCGCAGAUAUCAGGAGGAACACCGGUGGCGAAGGCGGGUCUCUGGGCCGUUACUGACGCUGAGGAGCGAAAGCGUGGGGAGCAAACAGG
rnacentral:rRNA from 1 species